CAUGUUGGUUGUGAGGGUCGUGAGCCCUGGGAAGAAGUGCUGCUACUGGUGGCAUCUUCUGUUCUUCUCCCAGGGCCAGCACUGAGGUCCGGGGGAUCAGGUUGCUCAGCUUCGUCCCGGCUUCAGCGUCUCCAGCGACGGGGCCGGCUUUUCCCCUGUUUCCUCCAGCAGAGCCAGGAGGCUUGGUGGCUUGGUCAAGGCAUGCCGGUCUUGAGGGCCCUCAGCAGUGUGGGGAGCACGAAGUACACACUGCUGCUGCCUGCGGCCACCCUGGCUCAGCCCCAGCAGUGCACCAAGAGCUGCCUUUGGUUCCUGAUUAUGCACACACCCACAUUUGUGGGGCCCAGCUUUGCUUAGAUACUUGCGUAGCCAUGCAGGGGCUCAGUCAGUGGUUCAGGCCAUGACUCAGCAGUUCCCGUACAGCAGAAGGGGACCUCUGCUUCUGGAAGGAUGGAGGAGAAUGUGAGGAACUCACCAGCCCUUGUUUACCGUCUGGUUUCAAAUCUGGGUGGCAGCAUGCUGAGAUAGUGUACGAAAUCAAAGGACAGCAGCCUCUGUGUCACUCUUGUUCUGACAAAGCAGCAAAGAUGCUCCACCAGAGAGCACAUAAAGGUGAGGAAGUGAAGGACUUGGAUUUUCAUGCUUUCCCCUGCUGUGAUGCUUUGUUCAGCAGAGGCCGGACUCAUAGCCACUAAGGAUGUGGUGCAGGACCAUGUCUGAGACCUUGCACAAGUCCUUCUGAACCACAUUUUGAGUGAUCCCUCCUGAGAAAGACUUUGCUUUGUGAGUUUGAGUUGGUGCCUCGGCACGGUGGUGG
ensembl:lncRNA